rnacentral:rRNA from 1 species
GCGAANGCGGCCAACUGGACCAAUACUGACGCUGANGCUCNAAAGCGUGGGGAGCAAACAGGAUUANAUACCCUGGUAGUCCACGCUGUAAACGAUGAA